AGUGAACGCUGGCGGUAGGCCUAACACAUGCAAGUCGAACGGCAGCACAGUAAGAGCUUGCUCUUACGGGUGGCGAGUGGCGGACGGGUGAGGAAUACAUCGGAAUCUACUUUUUCGUGGGGGAUAACGUAGGGAAACUUACGCUAAUACCGCAUACGACCUACGGGUGAAAGCAGGGGAUCUUCGGACCUUGCGCGAUUGAGUGAGCCGAUGUCGGAUUAGCUAGUUGGCGGGGUAAAGGCCCACCAAGGCGACGAUCCGUAGCUGGUCUGAGAGGAUGAUCAGCCACACUGGAACUGAGACACGGUCCAGACUCCUACGGGAGGCAGCAGUGGGGAAUAUUGGACAAUGGGCGCAAGCCUGAUCCAGCCAUACCGCGUGGGUGAAGAAGGCCUUCGGGUUGUAAAGCCCUUUGUUGGGAAAGAAAAGCAGCAGGUUAAUACCCCGCUGUUCUGACGGUACCCAAAGAAUAAGCACCGGCUAACUUCGUG
rnacentral:rRNA from 1 species